rnacentral:lncRNA from 1 species
GGCGGUGCUGCUGGUUGUUGAAGGCUAGGGUUUCGGGAUUUGGGAAUAUUUUGGGCUAGGUUUAGGAUCAGGUUUAGUUUUUUUAAUUGUAAUUGGGCUGUGUAAAUGGACAUUAGGGCUAAACUUAAAUAUUUUUUUUCUUUUCUUUUUUAUUUAGUUUUACAAAAUGGGCUGGGCAAAUUGGCCUAUUACACAACUGAUCUUUUCUUAGUUUCUUGAUAACCAAGAGGAAGCUUG